GUUGCAGCAGAAUAUUACUGCCCUUUGGGAUGAGGUAGUAGGUUGUAUAGUUUUAGGGUUACACCCUUCCGGUCAGAUAACUAUACAAUCUACUGUCUUUCCUGAGGUGGCUGUCUAAACUGCGGUGGAUC
rnacentral:pre_miRNA from 17 species